UGUUUAUAGUGUUUGUGGAGCAAUGCUAUAGGAAGAGAUUUUGGCUGCUUUCUAGAACAGUUUCCUGGGGAGAGAGAAGCUAGGAAGCUACUUCUGAAAAAGGAACCCAAAAGAGGCUGCUUUAUCUAUCCCAUUGUUCUACGUCUAGACGAGGCACAGCUUUCUAACAAAUAAUUAG